UUUCAGGUGCAGCGGCGUCGCAGGAAGAGUUCAGUGAAAAGCUUAAAGGAAGAGUUCCGUGAAAAUCCUGAUCCAUGGUCAGAUCUUCAGAUUUGAGCUGAGGUUUGUUCAGGAUUUCUAUCAGCAACACGUAAGAGAUAACUCCUGACUGUUAGCUAACACGAGCGUCACAGAGUCGGAGUGAAACUAAUCACUAAAUACCAAACACGCCUCGGCUGAUCGACUCUACAGAUCGUUCUCCAGUGUUGGAACAGAAACGUUAUUUGCAGUGAGACCAAAUUUCUUUAAAGAGCUAAGCGUGAGAAAGAAGGUCAAGACUGGGAGAAGCUGGAACGGAAGGAAACACACACAGACACAUUCUGAGGGAAUGCUGUGGGAAUGCUGUGGGAAUGCUUAAGGAAUGCUGAUGGGAACAUUACUGGAACACUGAGGGAAUGUUAUUGGAACACUGAGGGAGCGUUAUUGGAACACUGAGGGAGUGUUAUUGGAACACACAGACAGACUUCCGAAUGUAGCUGUAGAAAUGUUUAAGAAUGUUAAUUGGAACACUGAGAGAAUGGUUAAGGAAUGCUGGUGGGAAUGAUAUUGGAACACUGGGAGAACGUUAUUGGAACGCUGAGAGACUGCUUAAGGAAUGCUGAUGGGAACAUUAUUGGAACACUGAGGGAAUGUUAUUGGAACACUGAGCGAAUGUUAUUGGAACACUGAGGGAAUGUUAUUGGAACACUGAGGGAAUGUUAUUGCAACACUGAGGGAAUGUUAUUGGAACACUGAGGGAAUGUUAUUGGAACCUUGGGGAAAGUUAUUGGAACACUGAGGGAACGUUAUUUGAACACUGGGGCAACACACCUAUGCCUGCUGCUGUUGUGUCAUUAGGGCAGGAAGGAAGGAGAAACUAUUACUAUUUCCUGACCUUUUUUUCUUCACAUCAUUCUCUAUAAACAUCAUCAUCAUCAUCAUCAGGCUCUUGCUCAUGGAUUAUGUAACUCUGGCAUUCGUAUCCAAAAGCAGAGUCUCUGGGUCUGAAUCACACUGAAACACCUGACAGGACAACAAAAACAACGGGACAAAAAAAAGUGUAGAGUCUCCUGGGUGUACAGUUUGCCUUCAGUCAGCUUCAAUAAGACCUGUCUAUGGAUGGCAGUCUGAAUUGUUCUCCACAAGGGGGCCAAAGUUCAACGCAGCGUAACCAUAGUGAAGGACCGCCAUGCUUCAUGUGGAAAACAGACCCUGAUUACACACUCAAAUUCAUUUCAGCAGUUUUUUAUUCCAGGUCGGAAAUGUUCUCCUGUCCAUAACCUUCUUUGCUGGUCAAUCAAGUCCGUUUAACCAACCUGGCCGGUUCUUAAUUCUCGAACCCUUUCCUGUUUCGCAGCUUUUUUAAUGCAGGUGGAGAUUAAACGGACACGCUGCUUUUACGGGACCGCCGUAAGAUGUCACGAUUGUGUUGCAAUGACCUCCGGUGAAGAAUGAAUAAUUCAAAAGGGUGUAAUUGAAUAUGCAAAUUUCUGCUCUUUGAUUGAAACCUGGGAUGUAAUUUGGGCCAGCAGAAUAAAGUGAGUUUAACAAUGA